rnacentral:rRNA from 1 species
ACGGCGAGUGAAGCGGCAACAGCUCAAAUUUGAAAUCUGGCGUCUUCGGCGUCCGAGUUGUAAUUUGCAGAGGGCGCUUUGGCAUUGGCAGCGGUCCAAGUUCCUUGGAACAGGACGUCACAGAGGGUGAGAAUCCCGUACGUGGUCGCUAGCCUUUACCGUGUAAAGCCCCUUCGACGAGUCGAGUUGUUUGGGAAUGCAGCUCUAAAUGGGAGGUAAAUUUCUUCUAAAGCUAAAUACUGGCCAGAGACCGAUAGCGCACAAGUAGAGUGAUCGAAAGAUGAAAAGCACUUUGGAAAGAGAGUUAAAAAGCACGUGAAAUUGUUGAAAGGGAAGCGCUUGCAGCCAGACUUGCCUGUAGUUGCUCAUCCGGGUUUCUACCCGGUGCACUCUUCUACGGGCAGGCCAGCAUCAGUUUGGGCGGUUGGAUAAAGGUCUCUGUCAUGUACCUCUCUUCGGGGAGAACUUAUAGGGGAGACGACAUGCAACCAGCCUGGACUGAGGUCCGCGCAUCUGCUAGGAUGCUGGCGUAAUGGCUGUAAGCGGCCCGUCUUGAAACACGGACCAAGGAGUCUAACAUCUAUGCGAGUGUUUGGGUGUCAAGCCCGAGCGCGUAAUGAAAGUGAACGGAGGUGGGAACCUUUCGGGGUGCACCAUCGACCGAUCCUGAUGUCUUCGGAUGGAUUUGAGUAAGAGCAUAGCUGUUGGGACCCGAAAGAUGGUGAACUAUGCUUGAAUAGGGUGAAGCCAGAGGAAACUCUGGUGGAGGCUCGCAGCGGUUCUGACGUGCAAAUCGAUCGUCAAAUUUGGGCAUAGGGGCGAAAGACUAAUCGAACUAUCUAGUAGCUGGUUCCUGCCGAAGUUUCCCUCAGGA